rnacentral:rRNA from 1 species
GAUAAAAAAAUAACACGGAUAUGUUAGGUUUUUUCCUGAGGGUCAAUUAAGUUUCUAGCGAGUUGGUUAGUUUCUUUUCGUCCGGUUCAAUGAACUUCUCGCGAGUUGGUUAGUUUCUUUUCGUCCGAUACAAAGAAAUUCUAGCGCGUGAGAAGUUCAUUGAACCUUAUCAUUUAGAGGAAGGAGAAGUCGUAACAAGGUUUCCGUAGGUGAACUUGCGGAAGGAUCAUUG